UACGAAGGGGGCUAGCGUUGCUCGGAAUCACUGGGCGUAAAGGGUGCGUAGGCGGGUCUUUAAGUCAGGGGUGAAAUCCUGGAGCUCAACUCCAGAACUGCCUUUGAUACUGAAGAUCUUGAGUUCGGGAGAGGUGAGUGGAACUGCGAGUGUAGAGGUGAAAUUCGUAGAUAUUCGGCAAGAACACCAGUGGCGAAGGCGGCUCACUGGCCCGAUACUGACGCUGAGGUGCGAAAGCGUGGGGAGCAAACAGG
rnacentral:rRNA from 1 species